rnacentral:rRNA from 1 species
GAUGAACGCUGGCGGCGUGCCUAAUACAUGCAAGUAGAACGCUGAAGCUUGGUGCUUGCACCGAGCGGAUGAGUUGCGAACGGGUGAGUAACGCGUAGGUAACCUGCCUCUUAGCGGGGGAUAACUAUUGGAAACGAUAGCUAAUACCGCAUAAAAGACGAUAUCGCAUGAUAUUGAUUUGAAAGAUGCAAUUGCAUCACUAAGAGAUGGACCUGCGUUGUAUUAGCUAGUUGGUGAGGUAACGGCUCACCAAGGCGACGAUACAUAGCCGACCUGAGAGGGUGAUCGGCCACACUGGGACUGAGACACGGCCCAGACUCCUACGGGAGGCAGCAGUAGGGAAUCUUCGGCAAUGGGGGCAACCCUGACCGAGCAACGCCGCGUGAGUGAAGAAGGUUUUCGGAUCGUAAAGCUCUGUUGUAAGAGAAGAACGAGUGUGAGAGUGGAAAGUUCACACUGUGACGGUAACUUACCAGAAAGGACGGCUAACUACG